GACAGGAAAUCGAACGUCAAUCGCUUCAGCUUCCUAGACGUCGGCUCCCCUAGAAGCCGACGUCUAAUGGGUAUUCAAAAAGUCAUUUUAAAUGUUAACUUGGACGUCAUAUUAGUGAGAUAAUUGACGUCUAAGGGACUAUACACGUCGGUUUCUGGAUCAACCGAUGCCAAAUUUCAUUUUAAAUAAACCGCAAACUCUUCGCGGCAUUUAGUUUCUAAUAUCGUCUUCCUCUUCUCCUUUUUAUCUUACGACACCUCUUCUUAUUCUCGCUUGCGACACAUCUUCUUUUUCUCUCUUGCAGCAUUCCAUUAUUGUUUCUUAUAUCUGUAUCGUUUGCCUCCUCUCCUUUUUCUCUCUUGCGGCAUCCCAGGUGCGUUGUUUUUUUUUAAUGCUUACCGUUUAAACUUUGUUUAGUCUUUCAUCGAUUAUUUUUUGGUUCAACUGAUUAAAAUUUGCUUUCUUUGUGUUGUGUUUUAGUGCAAUUUUAUUCCUUUCUUGGGGUAACGUAGUAACACAUUCUCCAUUUGCUAACUGCCUCCUAGAAAAAAACGGCAUCUAGUGAAUUUCUUUUGAUCAUUUCAACCCAAAAACGACCCUGGGUCGUUUCCUAGUUAUCCU
rnacentral:lncRNA from 1 species